CACAUUGGAUUCGACGCUGCGGGAAUGGCUGCAGAAACUAAGGUAGAAAAAAAUAGCAUACGAAAGAAGUAUGGUCAUUGCUAGUCCGAUCCGUUCACCGGAUUCGACAGGGAGAAGAAACACAAGCGGGUUCAGCAAACUAAACAGAAUAGUGGGACAUACAACCAUAACGCUGUAAUACAAGGAUGCACGUUUGAUGGUUAUCGAAAAUUCUAAUGUUGAAUAUGUCCAUUCCAGGAAAAUAUCCGUAUAUCGUACGAAGACAAAUUCCAAUUAGAAUUUGGUGUAAAGAAUUGGAAAUUUAUAGGAUCAGAACUCAAAUUAAAUACUAUUUCCCUUUCCUCUAUACCCCACGAAAGAAACUGAAAUUUACAGGUCUGAGAAUCGUAUGGAAAUUUUGAUAUAUCUGUUGUACACUUUGCUGACAUGACACCCCCAAGUGGCCAGGUCACGUUUCCGUCGUAAAAGAUAUACGCAUGAGUUUUGGUGUCUCCUUGAACAGGACCUAAAACAUCAACAGCGUUUAUAAGAGUUAUUGGUGGCGUCCAUAUAUUUUCACUCGGUAAAAAAGUAUAAUAUAUUUUAUUUCCAUAAGACGUUGGAUCCCAGGAUAUUCCAGCAUCGUUCCAGGAACACCGUAAACCACCUAAGAUAACUAUUGUUUUUCAUCUACUUCGUCAAACUUUGUUAUAGUCAUCAAAUACAUUGUCAUUGAAAUCUUUAAUGGCGUGUUUUGAUCAACUUUUGGAAAGACUUCCUUUUGGUGAUUUGCAAACACAUCAGUAUAUAAUUGUUUCACAUUUGAAAUAUCUUGUCCGUUUGUUUUAUCCAGCGUCAAAAUGACCAGAACUAUCUUAAAGAUGGCUGACAUGGUUUCGUAUAUUUGUAAAUGUAUUAUUCCUUUAAAAUUUUCACAAUUAAUGACGGUCAACAAUAUCUGUCAGCGGGUGUUUAAAACGCCUAUCUUGUCAAAUCCGA
rnacentral:lncRNA from 1 species